UACAGUUAUAGAAAGUGUAAUAAAAGAAAGCAACCCGGCUGAACAUGAGAAAGAAGAGAGCAGUUCCAAAUCCACCUCAAAUACAAGGAAAUCACCUAGAGGUAAAGUUAUAGAAAGUGAAAUAAAAGAAAGCAACCCGGCUGAACAUGAGAAAGAAGAGAGCAGUUCCAAAUCCACCUCAAAUACAAGGAAAUCACCUAGAGGUAAAGUUAUAGAAAGUGAAAUAAAAGAAAACAACCCGGCUGAACAUGAGAAAGAAGAGAGCAGUUCCAAAUCCACUUCAAAUACAAGGAAAUCACCUAGA